rnacentral:rRNA from 1 species
GACGAACGCUGGCGGCGUGCUUAACACAUGCAAGUCGAACGGAAAGGCCCUGCUUUUGUGGGGUGCUCGAGUGGCGAACGGGUGAGUAACACGUGAGUAACCUGCCCUUGACUUUGGGAUAACUUCAGGAAACUGGGGCUAAUACUGGAUAGGAGCUCCUGCUGCAUGGUGGGGGUUGGAAAGUUUCGGCGGUUGGGGAUGGACUCGCGGCUUAUCAGCUUGUUGGUGGGGUAGUGGCUUACCAAGGCUUUGACAGGUAGCCGGCCUGAGAGGGUGACCGGCCACAUUGGGACUGAGAUACGGCCCAGACUCCUACGGGAGGCAGCAGUGGGGAAUAUUGCACAAUGGGCGGAAGCCUGAUGCAGCAACGCCGCGUGCGGGAUGACGGCCUUCGGGUUGUAAACCGCUUUCGCCUGUGACGAAGCGUGAGUGACGGUAAUGGGUAAAGAAGCACCGGCUAACUACGUG